rnacentral:lncRNA from 1 species
UUGGGAUUUUUAUGAAAUGUGUUUACCAGCCCUUUUGGAGCUAGUCUUUCAUUUGCAUGCGGGCCGCGGUAUUCUACCUGGAUGUGGGUGUGGGUGUAGAGAAGAGAAUGGAGGAUCUGCACAAAGAGAGCACAGCGAGGGACUGGGUUCUGAGCCUGUCCCCUCCAAGCCGCCGCCCUCUCCCCGAGGUCCGGCUGGGUGCACAGCAGAGGGGGCCAGCAAAAGAUGUGUGCUGGACAUGGCAAGACAGGGGCGAGACAGACCAUGGUGAGGAGAAUGGCACCUACAAGACCUCCCAGACUGCUGUGCACAGUUGAAAUCGAAACCGGAACGUCGUGGUGUCUCAGGACCAGCCCAAGCACUUUGGAGCACUGAUUUAAUUCCAACCCCAGCAGUAGGAGGUAUGUAUGUUAUUUUCCAUUUAUAGGAGCUGAAACUGAGGUUCCGAUGGCUGAAGUGACUUGCCCAAUUUGCACAACUGGUAGGUGCUGCCACUGAGAUUCAAAUUCAUACUAUGCCAAUUCUCAAGCCCUGUAAUCAAGCAGGGACGCUUUCCUUUCUUCAGCUGUGACAUGUUACUGUCAUUCAGUAACUCAUUCCUUCAACAAAAUAUUAAAAUAUUAUUGAGCACCUACUAGAUGCUAGAUGCUGUCUUGG